GCCGGGCAUGGUGGUGGAUGCCUGUAAUCCCAGCUACUUAGGAGGCUGAGGCAGGAGAAUUGCUUGAACCUGGGAGGUUGAGGUUGCAGUGAGCUGAGAUUGUGCCAUUGCACUCCAGCCUGGGCAACAGAGCAAGACUCCGUCUCAU
rnacentral:SRP_RNA from 1 species